CCUACGGGAGGCAGCAGUGGGGAAUCUUGCGCAAUGGGCGAAAGCCUGACGCAGCCAUGCCGCGUGAAUGAUGAAGGUCUUAGGAUUGUAAAAUUCUUUCACCGGGGACGAUAAUGACGGUACCCGGAGAAGAAGCCCCGGCUAACUUCGUGCCAGCAGCCGCGGUAAUACGAAGGGGGCUAGCGUUGCUCGGAAUUACUGGGCGUAAAGGGAGCGUAGGCGGAUAGUUUAGUCAGAGGUGAAAGCCCAGGGCUCAACCUUGGAAUUGCCUUUGAUACUGGCUAUCUUGAGUACGGAAGAGGUAUGUGGAACUCCGAGUGUAGAGGUGAAAUUCGUAGAUAUUCGGAAGAACACCAGUGGCGAAGGCGACAUACUGGUCCGUUACUGACGCUGAGGCUCGAAAGCGUGGGGAGCAAACAGGAUUAGAUACCCUGGUAGUCCACGCUGUAAACGAUGAGUGCUAGUUGUCGGCAUGCAUGCAUGUCGGUGACGCAGCUAACGCAUUAAGCACUCCGCCUGGGGAGUACGGUCGCAAGAUUAAAACUCAAAGAGUAGUGCGNGNGAGNGCGACGAGACGACGAGGAGGAG
rnacentral:rRNA from 1 species